rnacentral:lncRNA from 1 species
CCGGAGAGCCAAGCUAGUGGGAAAAUGAGGCCUUUGACUGAAGAAGAGACCCGGGUAAUGUUUGAGAAGAUUGCGAAAUACAUUGGAGAGAAUCUACAACUCCUGGUGGACAGACUGGACGGCACCUACUGUUUCUGGCUGCACAACGACCGAGUGUACUAUGUGAGUGAGAUGAUCCUGAAGCUGGCUGCCAACAUCUCCGGAGAUAAGCUAGUGUCCCUGGGGACGUGUUUUGGAAAGUUUACCAAGACCCACAAGUUCCAGUUACACAUGACAGCUCUGGAUUACCUUGCACCCUACGCCAAGUAUAAAGUGUGGAUAAGCCUGGAGCAGAGCAGUCCUCCUUGUAUGGAAACCAUAUGUUGAAAUCCGGUCUGGGUCGGAUCACUGAAAACACGUCUCAGUGCCAGGGAGUAGUGGUUUAUUCCAUGGCAGAUAUUCCUUUGGGUUUUGGGGUGGCAGCAAAGUCUACCCAAGACUCCAGGAAAGUGGACCCCAUUGCAAUUGUGGUGUUCCAUCAAGCAGACAUUGGGGAGUACGUACGCCAUGAAGAGACGUUAACUUAAGAUGGUCAUCCCAAGAACAUUUUGCUGUGUGAGAGGACUUAGCUUUGUUUCCUGUGUGCCGGCCAUCAUGUUAAAUCUGGAUAACACUGAGAUAUGCAGCUUGGGUUUCUUAUCAAUAGAAAUGGCUCAAAAAUAGGGUUCCUGGCCCUCUAGAGCCAAAUGCAAGUGGAUCACAAGGAAAAGGCCAGCU